rnacentral:rRNA from 1 species
CAAGUCGAACGGCAGCACAGGGAGAGCUUGCUCUCUGGGUGGCGAGUGGACGGACGGAGUGAGGCAAUACAUCGNGAAUCUACUUUUUCUGGGGGGAUAACGUAGGGAAACUUACGCUAAUACCGCAUACGACCUACGGGUGAAAGCAGGGGAUCUUCGGACCUUGCGCGAUUGAAUGAGCCGAUGUCGGAUUAGCUAGUUGGCGGGGUAAAGGCCCACCAAGGCGACGAUCCGUAUCUGGUCUGAAAGGAUGAUCAGCCACACUGGAACUGAGACACGGACCAGACUCCUACGGGAGGCAGCAGUGGGGAAUAUUGGACAAUGGGCGCGAACCUGAUCCAGCCAUACCGCGUGGGUGAAAAAGGCCUUCGGGUUGUAAAGCCCUUUUGUUGGGAAAGAGAUCCAGCUGGUUAAUACCCGGUUGGGAUGACGGUACCCAAAAAAUAACCACCGGCUAACUUCUUGCCACCAGCCGCGGUAAUACGAAGGGUGCAAGCGUUACUCGGAAUUACUGGGCAUAAAGCGUGCGUAGGUGGUCGUUUAAGUCCGUUGUGAAAGCCCUGGGCUCAACCUGGGAACUGCAAUGGAUACUGGGCGACUAGAGUGUGGUAUACGGUAGAGGAAUUCCUGGUGUAGCAGUGAAAUGCGUAUAGAUCAGGAGGAACAUCCAUGGCGAAGGCAGCUACCUGGACCAACACUGACACUGAGGCACGAAAGCGUGGGGAGCAAACAGGAUUAGAUACCCUGGUAGUCCACGCCCUAAACGAUGCGAACUGGAUGUUGGGUGCAAUUUGGCACGCAGUAUCGAAGCUAACGCGUUAAGUUCGCCGCCUGGGGAGUACGGUCGCAAGACUGAAACUCAAAGGAAUUGACAGUGGCCCGCACANGCGGUGGAGUAUGUGGUUUAAUUCGAUGCAACACGAAGAACCUUACCUGGCCUUGACAUGUCGAGAACUUUCCAGAGAUGGAUGGUUGCCUUCGGGAACUCGAACACAGGUGCUGCAUGGCUGUCGUCAGCUCCUGUCCUGAAAUGUAGGGUUAAGUCCCGCAACGAGCGCAACCUUGUCCUUANUUGCCAGCACCAAAUGUGGGAACUNUAAGGAAACCCCCGGUGACAACCCGAAGAAGNAGGGAUNACGUAAGUUUUUUUGGCCCUUACCGCCAGG